GAACUGCGAUACGUAAUGUGACUUGCAGAAUCUCGUGAAUCAUCAAAUCUUUGAACGCAAAUGGCGCUCCUGCGCAAGGAGCACGCCUGUCUGAGUAUCAUUCCAUCCCCAUCUCCGGCCCCCGGGCCGGAGGCACUAUGAGGGCCUCACGCACGCCCCUGGGCGCGCGCGUCCCUUAAAAGCAUCACGUAAAAAAAAAAUUCGCGGGAGCCCUGGCGGGACACCCGGGAUUGCGGCGCUGUAAAAUUUAUUUUCUACCCCGCCCCAGCCCUGCCCCUCCAGGCCCCCCGCCUACCAUCGUGAUCUCAGAUCAGGCGAGACGACCCGCUGAACUUAA
rnacentral:misc_RNA from 1 species